rnacentral:rRNA from 1 species
AUGGAAGCACCGCCGCCGCCGCCGCCGCCGCCGCCGGCGCUCCCGGACGACGUCGUCGAAGAGAUCCUCCUCCGCCUCCCGCCCGACGACCCAGCCUGCCUCUUCCGCGCCUCCCUCGUCUGCAAGGCCUGGAGGAGCGCCGUCUCCCAUCCCCACUUCCGCCGCCGCUUCAUCGGGCUCCACCGCCACCGGGCACCCCCUGUGCUCGGCUUCCUCCACAACUGGAAAGACGAGCGCCUCCCUGACUUCGUCCCCACCACCGCCUCGCCCUUCUCCCUCGCCGCUCCAGACCGCCGGUUCUGGCGCCCCCUCGACUGCCGCCACGGCCGCGCCCUCUUCCUCUCCGACGACCGCCAGGAAACUCAGGAACUCCUCCUGUGGGGGCCAAUCACGGGCGCCCGUCAGGGCAUACCGGUGCCCUCGGCGUUCAGGUGCGACUGGCCGACCGCGGCCGUGUUCUGCGCAGCCGACGGGUGCGACCACCGCGACUGUGCGGGGGGGCCCUUCGGCGUGGUCUUCGUCUUCACCCUCGACAUCUCGCCCAACGCAGACGUUGUCACAUCGGCGUGCUUGUACUCGUCGGAGACUGGCACGUGGGGCAAGCUGAACUCGAGGGAAUACGAGUUCAGCAUGGACUUUGAGCAUCAUUCCAGCGUGCUGGUUGGGAGGUCUCUGCUCUACUUCCUGUCCGACGGUGGGAUGAUCCUGGAGUACAAUUUGGGCAGUGGUGAACUGGCUGUGUUCCGCCCACCACCUGACGAUUACGGCAGUGACAACCACAGAUUUAACCUCAUGCUGGCGGAGGACGGUGGGCUGGGGGUUGCCGAAGCCAUUGAUUUUCAGCUCAUAUUGUGGAAAAGGGAGGUGAGUGAUGGCACUAAUGCACGAUGGGUGCUGAGCCGGAUUGUCGACCUGGACAUCGAUCCAUGCACACUUGUUCCAGUGUUGGGCUUUGCAGAGGGAGCAAAUGCUGUUUUCGUGAAAACUGUUGGUAGUCUCUUCAUGAUCGAGCUGCAGUCGGAGCAGGCGAAAAGGGUGUGCCAUAAUCAUGGCUUCUGUAAUUUGAUUCCAGUUGUCAGCUUCUACACUCCACAUUCUAGGCUCCAAGUGCCCGGGGGUGAACACCAGGACCCAGCGCCGCGGCUGAACCUACUGAGGAGGGGUGGUCAGCAAGGGGUAUGGGAGGAGAAAUCACUAGAAUUGGCGCAAUUGCUGUUUGAUAAGGGGUGCAAGGCUAUCAAUGAGGAGGACUUGGCCCACGCGGCUGACUGCUUCAGACAUGUUCUCGAGAUCAGGGUUCGACGUUAUGGAGGCCUUGCUCCUGAGUGUGCUAGCACGUUUUACCGUUAUGGAGGUGCCUUGUUAUGCAAAGCUCAGGAGGCAGCCAAUCGUUCAGGGGCAAACUUGCGUGGCAAAGGUCAGACGGAUGGGAACAUGACAGGCGAUGGAGAUGAUUCUGAUUUGGAUUUGGCCUGGAAAAUGUUGAAUACUGCAAGGGUGAUAGUUGCCAAGAGUCCAGAGAAGACAAUGGAGAAGGUUAAUAUAUUGAUUGCUCUAGCUGAAAUCUCCAUGAGAAGAGAGGACAGAGACAGCUCAAUCAGUUACUACUUUGAAGCUUUGGCGAUCUUGGAACAUUUGGUUAGGCCUGACCAUUUUCGAAUUGUCGAUCUUUCUAGAAACAUCCGCAUAUGUUUGGCCUUUGAGUUAGCAUCCAAGGUUGGGGAUGCAAUCCCAUAUUGUGCAAAGGCUAUUUCAUUAUGCAAGUCGCGUAUACAUAAUCUGAAAAUUGCCAAGGAAGGUUUGUUGGCUGAUAAAGACCUUAGAGCAUCUGCUGCUAAAGGACACUCAGGAAAGUCGACUCUGGAAGAUGAAAUAUCUUACCUUGCUAGAAUGUUGCCUCGAUUCCAGAAGAAGCUUGAAGAACUGAAGCAAGCAAUGUCAACCCCAAGCGACGGCAUAGAUAAUAUUAUGAAGAGGGUGGUCUCACAGGCAAGUCAUGAGCAGAGUGUUAACAAUACUAUGGCAAGAACUGCAUCUUUGACUUCUUCACAGAUGGCACGAUCAAACAACAGCUUCCAUUCCCCAACUAUGUCUACGGCAGCACCAAGUGGAAGUAGCGUAACCGACUUUGAGAUUGUUGGCAGAGAGAUGAAACGAGCUAAAGAUGAGUCGAUCUCCUACGAACCUUCUCCAAAGAGACUUGCAGCAGAUGAUUCACCAUCCGUGAAUGAAAUUUGA